GGAAGGUAGGGGAGAGGAGGGGGUAUAGGGAAGGUAGGGGAGAGGAGGGGGUAUAGGGAAGGUAGGGGAGAGGAGGGAGGACUUCCUCCAUGUCAGGUAAGCAGCCUCCAAGUCUACCCUCACCAACUGACCAGACUGAGUGAGUUCUGAACAUCCCUCUCUGUCCUCUGAUGCUGCGUCCAAGUCUUCUUGGGUCUUUCUGGUGUCUCUGUCUUGACUCUUUAGUGAGUUUUUUCAGUUCUUUCCCAGGCUGCCUGAAAAACACAAAAAGAUGGCACAUACAUAAGAGUUAUAAACUAUCAAAAUAAAGAGAAUCCCACACUCCAUAUAUAAACUCCCAGUCAUUUAUUGGGUAUUUACCAACGUUUCAGCAUCACUGUGCCUUCUUCAGGGUGAUGUCAUCAAUACUUGAGCCAGGUUAUGUAGACAAACAGUGCAAUUAGUGCAACCAAUGACAAUAGAGAG
rnacentral:lncRNA from 1 species